AUUGAACGCUGGCGGCAGGCCUAACACAUGCAAGUCGAGCGGAUGACGGGAGCUUGCUCCUUGAUUCAGCGGCGGACGGGUGAGUAAUGCCUAGGAAUCUGCCUGGUAGUGGGGGACAACGUUUCGAAAGGAACGCUAAUACCGCAUACGUCCUACGGGAGAAAGCAGGGGACCUUCGGGCCUAGCGCUAUCAGAUGAGCCUAGGUCGGAUUAGCUAGUUGGUGAGGUAAUGGCUCACCAAGGCGACGAUCCGUAACUGGUCUGAGAGGAUGAUCAGUCACACUGGAACUGAGACACGGUCCAGACUCCUACGGGAGGCAGCAGUGGGGAAUAUUGGACAAUGGGCGAAAGCCUGAUCCAGCCAUGCCGCGUGUGUGAAGAAGGUCUUCGGAUUGUAAAGCACUUUAAGUUGGGAGGAAGGGUUGUGCGUUAAUACCGUGCAAUUUUGACGUUACCGACAGAAUAAGCACCGGCUAACUCUGUGCCAGCAGCCGCGGUAACAC
rnacentral:rRNA from 1 species